rnacentral:rRNA from 1 species
UACGUAGGUGGCAAGCGUUAUCCGGAUUUACUGGGUGUAAAGGGAGCGUAGACGGCAUAGCAAGUCUGAAGUGAAAGCCCAAGGCUCAACCAUGGGACUGCUUUGGAAACUGUUAAGCUAGAGUGCUGGAGAGGUAAGCGGAAUUCCUAGUGUAGCGGUGAAAUGCGUAGAUAUUAGGAAGAACACCAGUGGCGAAGGCGGCUUACUGGACAGUAACUGACGUUGAGGCUCGAAAGCGUGGGGAGCAAACAGG